rnacentral:rRNA from 1 species
UGGGGAAUAUUGGGCAAUGGGCGCAAGCCUGACCCAGCAACGCCGCGUGAAGGAAGAAGGCUUUCGGGUUGUAAACUUCUUUUAUCAGGGACGAAACAAAUGACGGUACCUGAUGAAUAAGCCACGGCUAACUACGUGCC